rnacentral:rRNA from 1 species
GACGAACGCUGGCGGCGUGCCUAAUACAUGCAAGUCGAACGCUUCUUUCCUCCCGAGUGCUUGCACUCAAUUGGAAAGAGGAGUGGCGGACGGGUGAGUAACACGUGGGUAACCUACCCAUCAGAGGGGGAUGACACUUGGAAACAGGUGCUAAUACCGCAUAACAGUUUAUGCCGCAUGGCAUAAGAGUGAAAGGCGCUUUCGGGUGUCGCUGAUGGAUGGACCCGCGGUGCAUUAGCUAGUUGGUGAGGUAACGGCUCACCAAGGCCACGAUGCAUAGCCGACCUGAGAGGAUGAUCGGCCACACUGGGACUGAGACACGGCCCAGACUCCUACGGGAGGCAGCAGUAGGGAAUCUUCGGCAAUGGGCGAAAGUCUGACCGAGCAACGCCGCGUGAGUGAAGAAGGUUUUCGGAUCGUAAAACUCUGUUGUUAGGGAAGAACAAGGACGUUAGUAACUGAACGUCCCCUGACGGUAUCUAACCAGAAAGCCACGGCUAACUACGUG